CAAUUCGCCUUCAUGAAGCCGGAAUUGCUAGUAAUGGCAGGUCAGCAUACUGCCGUGAAUACGUUCCCGGGCCUUGUACACACCGCCCGUCACACCAUGAGAGUUGGGGAUACCCGAAGCCUGUGAGCUAACUUAUAGAGGCAGCAGUCGAAGGUAGAAUCAAUGAUUGGGGUGAAGUCGUAACAAGGUAUC
rnacentral:rRNA from 1 species